AUUGAACGCUGGCGGAAUGCUUUACACGUGCAAGUCGAACGGCAGCACGGACUUCGGUCUGGUGGCGAGUGGCGAACGGGUGAGUAAUGUAUCGGAACGUGCCCAGUCGUGGGGGAUAACGUAGUGAAAAUUACGCUAAUACCGCAUACGAUCUAUGGAUGAAAGCGGGGGAUCGCAAGACCUCGCGCGAUUGGAGCGGCCGAUAUCAGAUUAGGUAGUUGGUGGGGUAAAGGCCCACCAAGCCAACGAUCUGUAGCUGGUCUGAGAGGACGACCAGCCACACUGGAACUGAGACACGGUCCAGACUCCUACGGGAGGCAGCAGUGGGGAAUUUUGGACAAUGGGCGAAAGCCUGAUCCAGCCAUUCCGCGUGCAGGAUGAAGGCCCUCGGUUGUAAACUGCUUUUGUACAGAACGAAAAGGUUUCUACUAAUACUAGGAGCUCAUGACGGUACUGUAAGAAUAAGCACCGGCUAACUACGUGCCAGCCGCCGCAGUAA
rnacentral:rRNA from 1 species